AUCACAUGCAACCUCCCUUUAUUUGCUUCACAAGUUGACUCUCUCAAGCCUCAAAAUCCCAUUACAAUAUCAAAAGUCAGAAACCAAUCCCCCACAAAUCCAAAACCACUUUUCUUGCUCUUCACAUUUCACAACUCAGUCAGAAAUAAAAGAAGCACACAAAGAAGAAGAAGCAAAGGUUCGUGGAAGAUAUGCAUCGAUCGGCGAGUCAUUCGGCUGCUCGAUCCUCGGAGGAAUUCUUGGUGAACUUCCCAUCAUCUGCAUUGAAAGGUUUCGAUUCGAACCAGAAUCUGUUAGCAGAAUACGAUGAUGAAUAUGUGGUUUCUGACGGCUCGUCGAAGAUAAAGCCUUCGGCCGGAGAGAAAGCUGUUCAUUUAAUCCCACUGGCUUUGAUUUUCUGUGGUUUGGUUCUUUGGUGGUGCUCACACCCUGUCCAAUUGCAUUAAUGCAAUCAUCUUUUAUGUACUUUCUUCUUCUUCUAUGUUGAAAGUUGGAAUGUGGGUGUAGACUAGUGCUGUGUAAUUUAACCAAUCAUAAUGGUUAUUUACUAUAUAUACAUAUACAUAUAAUUGUGGCUGAA